GAGCAGCCCCGGCGCCGCGGCGGCAGCGGGAGGAAGAGGAGGGAGAGAAGCGAGGGAGAGGCCUGGGGCAGGCAGCCCCCGGGGCCGGGCCGCGCCGGCCGGCCCAGCCACUUCAAUGCCAGCCCCGGGGCAUCGGCUUCCCGCCCAUGAGACCGCUGCAGGGCUCUCGGGGCCGGAGCGUCGUCGUGGGCACCGUCACCCUCUGCCUGGCCGCCGGGUGGGCUCUGCAGACUCCCGGAGGAGUAUCCUUAGUUGUCCCACAACCCAACAUCAAUGCAACAGUGGCACAAAACAUCCUCCUCUCAGUUGAAUACUCUUGCCGAGGCGUGGCCACCAUUGAGUGGAAGCAUGUGUCAAGCUGGGGCACCACCAGCAUUGUUGAGUGGAGAAGUGGGAAUUAUGUCAACAUAUCCACGGCCUACAAGGACAGAGUGACCACUUUUGAAAAUGGCUCUAUACAGCUUCGGAACGUGGGCAUGAGAGAUGCCGGCUACUAUUUUGUCACUGUAAUGGAGGAACAUGGAACCAAUGCCUAUGGCACCAUCAUAGUCAAUGUUUACGAGAUUAUCUAUGAAGAUUUGCAUUUUGUAGCAGUUCUUUUCGCAUUUCUCGCUGCAGUAUCUGCCAUUCUAAUCUGCUUCAUGUGGCUGUGUAAUAAAUCUCUGCAUCUAUUUCAGAAGAAGACAACACACAAACUAACAGUUGCAGACUCCAACAAACACUGAGUAAUACCAAAACCUGGCACUGAAGACAACAGUCAUGAAAAGCAGGUCAAGGGAGCACAAGGGCUACAAUGAAGGGACAUACCAGCGAAGAAAUUUCCAAGCCACUGCCAGAGAUAUUUGGCCUAGGCAGAAAGAUAAGGUGCACAUUACAGACCUGGGAUCAAGCUCUUAGGCACAUCUUUGAAAUGGGAGGUUUCCUUUACCACUUCAAGAUAUUUCAGAUGUUUACCUCCCUUCUUUCAAGUACAACAGAAGAGAUUGAACUGGAAACCAUUGAGUGUUAGCCAAGGACUGUGUCAUAAUAAAAAUAACAAUUCUACCUCAGGAGAAAGUAUUGGCCAAGAAAGCAAGAACAAACCUAGAAGGUAAAAUGUUUGUGACUACUGCAGAAACAUCCUAACUUGCAAAGUAAUUAAUUCUACCGUGCCUGAUGGAGCUGUUUCAACCUGUUUUCAGUUCUGCUAGUUAAGGUCAGAGUAAAAAAGAGCAUGCUUUCAUGCUGAGCAUAUUUGUGGCUAGCUAAUAAAAUCUACAGCCUCUACCACUCUUAAGCAACCAACCAACCAAGCCUCUAAGAUCAACCCAUAAAGGAAAUUAUCAUGGUCUUGAAGGACACCUACAUUUUGGAUACAGCAAGUCUCCUAUUACAGACAGAGUGGUCAUUAGCAUCCAUCAACAUAAUAAAUUAAAUAUCCAAUUACAGUAUUACAUUAAAAAAAUAUUUGCAAGCAUUGAAUCCUGUUUAUUGCACCUAUGCUGCUACUUUUGGGUGUAAGGAACUUCCUGAAGCUCUGAAGACAAACUGCAAUUUUUCAUAAGACAGAACUGACUUUGAAAGAACGCUGAGCUGGUCAAAGUUCUCCCACUUGUGUUUCCAGUUGUUUACACUGCCCCAGGAUGGAUGUUAACUCACAUUUUAUGACAUUACUAGAGCAAGUGGUUGUACAAGCAACAGUGCAGGCAGGCACUAAAGAGGACACUGUGAAGAUUAGAGGGGUCAGAUAAAACACUGACACACAACACCAGUUGGGAUGGCAAAACACUAAACAGUUUUGUUGUGAAAGAUGUCAAGUCCUUUGCAAACUUAGCCUAGUGCUGAACAAUCUAUCUGAGAAAAAAAGUUAUAACAGCAUUUCUUUGAAAUACAAUAUUUACAAAUACAGUUCUAAAAUUGCUCUUGUUGAGAAGCCAUCUUUGCUUUCCCUAUGUUGUAAGAAAACAUUAAAGUGACCCAACUAAUGUUUUCUUGAAUCUGCAUAUUGCACGUAUUGCAAUUCUCCACCUGUAGAUCUGUUGGGUGGAAUAACACUUGUGUUUGCCAGUGAGAAAGCAGCAAACUGACCAAGUUCCAAAUUAUUCUGUUUUGCUUUUGUAAUGAAAAUUUUGCAGUGUGAAAUAAACUUUGAAUUUGGAAGACAUCA